rnacentral:tRNA from 1 species
GGUAAAUAUAGUUCAAUUGGUAGAACGAUAGAUUGUGGAUCUAUUGGUUACAGGUUCGAGUCCUGUUAUUUACC